AUUAGAUACCCUGGUAGUCCACGCCGUAAACGAUGUCGACUUGGAGGUUGUGCCCUUGAGGCGUGGCUUCCGGAGCUAACGCGUUAAGUCGACCGCCUGGGGAGUACGGCCGCAAGGUUAAAACUCUUAUGAAUUGACGGGGGCCCGCACAAGCGGUGGAGCAUGUGGUUUAAUUCGAUGCAACGCGAAGAACCUUACCUGGUCUUGACAUCCACGGAAGUUUUCAGAGAUGAGAAUGUGCCUUCGGGAACCGUGAGACAGGUGCUGCAUGGCUGUCGUCAGCUCGUGUUGUGAAAUGUUGGGUUAAGUCCCGCAACGAGCGCAACCCUUAUCCUUUGUUGCCAGCGGUCCGGCCGGGAACUCAAAGGAGACUGCCAGUGAUAAACUGGAGGAAGGUGGGGAUGACGUCAAGUCAUCAUGGCCCUUACGACCAGGGCUACACACGUGCUACAAUGGCGCAUACAAAGAGAAGCGACCUCGCGAGAGCAAGCGGACCUCAUAAAGUGCGUCGUAGUCCGGAUUGGAGUCUGCAACUCGACUCCAUGAAGUCGGAAUCGCUAGUAAUCGUGGAUCAGAAUGCCACGGUGAAUACGUUCCCGGGCCUUGUACACACCGCCCGUCACACCAUGGGAGUGGGUUGCAAAAGAAGUAGGUAGCUUAACCUUCGGGAGGGCGCUUACCACUUUGUGAUUCAUGACUGGGGUGAAGUCGUAACAAGGUAACCGUAGGGGAACCUG
rnacentral:rRNA from 1 species